GCUUUACCGCCUUUUAUUUAUUGUUUUCUAGUUAGAUUUAAAAUAUUGUUAUUUCUUUUUGUUAUUUUAUAAUUUUUAUGGUUAUUUUUAUUUUUGUUAAAGUGUCAGUCGAGUUAAAUAUCAAUGUGUUGUCGAGUCUUUAUGCGUGGUUUCCGUUGUUUACUAAUUCUCCUGAUUAGAGGAGCCAUACAAAUUUUUUGCAAAAAU
rnacentral:lncRNA from 1 species